rnacentral:rRNA from 1 species
UACGUAGGUGGCUAGCGUUGUCCGGAUUUACUGGGCGUAAAGAGCGUGUAGGCGGCUCGGUAAGUCCGCUGUGAAAGUCCAGGGCUCAACCCUGGAAUGCCAGUGGAAACUGUCGAGCUAGAGUCCGGAAGAGGCGAGUGGAAUUCCUGGUGUAGCGGUGAAAUGCGCAGAUAUCAGGAGGAACACCGACGGCGAAGGCAGCGCCCUGGACGACACCUGACGCUCAGGCACGAAAGCUGGGGGAGCAAACGGG